rnacentral:rRNA from 1 species
GAUGAACGCUGGCGGCGUGCCUAAUACAUGCAAGUCGAGCGAACAGACGAGGAGCUUGCUCCUCUGCCGUUAGCGGCGGACGGGUGAGUAACACGUGGAUAACCUACCUAUAAGACUGGGAUAACUUCGGGAAACCGGAGCUAAUACCGGAUAAUAUAUUGAACCGCAUGGUUCAAUAGUGAAAGACGGUUUUGCUGUCACUUAUAGAUGGUUCCGCGCCGCAUUAGCUAGUUGGUAAGGUAACGGCUUACCAAGGCAACGAUGCGUAGCCGACCUGAGAGGGUGAUCGGCCACACUGGAACUGAGACACGGUCCAGACUCCUACGGGAGGCAGCAGUAGGGAAUCUUCCGCAAUGGGCGAAAGCCUGACGGAGCAACGCCGCGUGAGUGAUGAAGGUCUUCGGAUCGUAAAACUCUGUUAUUAGGGAAGAACAAAUGUGUAAGUAACUAUGCACGUCUUGACGGUACCUAAUCAGAAAGCCACGGCUAACUACGUG